rnacentral:tRNA from 1 species
GCGGGAUUAGUUUAAUGGUAAAAUGCCACCUUCCCAAGGUAGAGAUACGAGUUCGAUUCUCGUAUCCCGCUCCA